rnacentral:rRNA from 1 species
GUAUUGCGCGCAGCAUGAUGCAGCGACGCCGCGUGAGUGAUGACGGCCUUCGGGUUGUAACCUCUUUCAGCAGGGACGAUGCUGACGGGACUGUACCUACAGGACACUGAUCGGCCAGCUACGUGCCACUCGGUGCUAUCAUAUGCGGUCAUACGCGGGAUAA